rnacentral:rRNA from 1 species
UGGGGAAUAUUGCACAAUGGGCGCAAGCCUGAUGCAGCCAUGCCGCGUGUAUGAAGAAGGCCAUCGGGUUGUAAAGUACUUUCAGCGGGGAGGAAGGCGAUGCGGUUAAUAACCGCGUCGAUUGACGUUACCCGCAGAAGAAGCACCGGCUAACUCCGUGCCAGCAGCCGCGGUAAUACGGAGGGUGCAAGCGUUAAUCGGAAUUACUGGGCGUAAAGCGCACGCAGGCGGUCUGUCAAGUCGGAUGUGAAAUCCCCGGGCUCAACCUGGGAACUGCAUCCGAAACUGGCAGGCUUGAGUCUCGUAGAGGGGGGUAGAAUUCCAGGUGUAGCGGUGAAAUGCGUAGAGAUCUGGAGGAAUACCGGUGGCGAAGGCGGCCCCCUGGACGAAGACUGACGCUCAGGUGCGAAAGCGUGGGGAGCAAACA